rnacentral:tRNA from 1 species
GGUGGGUACAGCUCAGUGGUAGAGUGCCUGCUUAGCAUGCGCUCCUGGGUUCAAUCCCCAGAACCUCCA